AACGCGAAGAACCUUACCAGGCCUUGACAUGCACUAGACAGACGCUGAAAGGCGUCCUCCCUUCGGGGCUGGUGCACAGGUGCUGCAUGGCUGUCGUCAGCUCGUGUCGUGAGAUGUUGCGUUAAGUCGCGCAACGAGCGCAACCCCUGUCCUUAGUUGCCAUCAGGUAAAGCUGGGCACUCUAGGGAGACAAACCCUCUCUGAGGGUGGGAAGGUGGGGAUGACGUCAAGUCAGGAUGGCCCUUACGGCCUGGGCUGCACACGUGCUACAAUGCCCGGUACAGAGGGAAGCAAUACCGCGAGGUGGAGCAAAUCCUCAAAACCGGGCCCAGUUCAGAUUGUAGUCUGCAACUCGACUACAUGAAGCCGGAAUCGCUAGUAAUGGCGCAUCAGCUACGGCGCCGUGAAUACGUUCCCGGGCCUUGUACACACCGCGAGC
rnacentral:rRNA from 1 species